rnacentral:tRNA from 1 species
AUCUGUUUGGCGGAGUGGUCUAACGCGCCGGAUUUAAGCCCCGGUCUCUAACGAGGCGCAAGUUCGAACCUUGCAACAGAUA